CGCGGCGCGCCCAUUUCUUUCUGGGCAGACCCUUUUUGCAAACUUUAAAUGGCCAUAACUUUGUGAUCCGGACUCCGAUUUGGGAGUUCUAUAUACCGUUGGAAAGCUCUUUCCGAGCUCUAUUUGAAUAUCUGAAUUUUAAAUGCCAUGUGAAUAUUUUAUGAAAAUGAAAUCAGGGGUUAACCCUAUUUGUGAAAUCCCGAAUUGUGUGACUAGGAUUAUCGGCACCUGAUCAGGAGCACCCGGGAAUUUGGAAUCUCUAUCAUUGCAGGAGAUCAGGAAAGGGUAAGACAUUAGCUGAUCAACCAUGAGUUUCAGGAGCAGGGCGAGGAAUGUACAUGUUCAUGCCACUUCAGACCAAGCGGGUUAUGGGUCUAACAGUGUUGACUUUUGUAUUCUAUUUUGCCGCUUAGGUCGGCUAGAAAGAAAUGACUUGUAAUAAGUUUGUAAAUAUUUUUGGGAUCCCAACGGUUUUAAAGUUUAAAAGUAUUACAAGUUUUAUUUUCAUUCC